rnacentral:rRNA from 1 species
GACGAACGCUGGCGGCGUGCUUAACACAUGCAAGUCGAACGAAAAGACGGAAAGAGCUUGCUCUUUUCAGAAUUGAGUGGCAAACGGGUGAGUAACACGUAAACAACCUGCCUUCAGGAUGGGGACAACAGACGGAAACGACUGCUAAUACCGAAUAAGUUCCAAGAGCCGCAUGGCCCAUGGAAGAAAAGGUGGCCUCUACCUGUAAGCUAUCGCCUGAAGAGGGGUUUGCGUCUGAUUAGCUGGUUGGAGGGAUAACGGCCCACCAAGGCGACGAUCAGUAGCCGGUCUGAGAGGAUGAACGGCCACACUGGAACUGAGACACGGUCCAGACUCCUACGGGAGGCAGCAGUGGGGAAUCUUCCGCAAUGGGCGAAAGCCUGACGGAGCAACGCCGCGUGAGUGAUGACGGCCUUCGGGUUGUAAAACUCUGUGAUCCGGGACGAAAAGGCAGAGUGCGAAGAACAAACUGCAUUGACGGUACCGGAAAAGCAAGCCACGGCUAACUACGUGCCAGCAGCCGCGGUAAUACGUAGGUGGCAAGCGUUGUCCGGAAUUAUUGGGCGUAAAGCGCGCGCAGGCGGCUUCCCAAGUCCCUCUUAAAAGUGCGGGGCUUAACCCCGUGAUGGGAAGGAAACUGGGAAGCUGGAGUAUCGGAGAGGAAAGUGGAAUUCCUAGUGUAGCGGUGAAAUGCGUAGAGAUUAGGAAGAACACCGGUGGCGAAGGCGACUUUCUGGACGAAAACUGACGCUGAGGCGCGAAAGCGUGGGGAGCAAACAGG